rnacentral:rRNA from 1 species
UACGUAGGGGGCAAGCGUUGUCCGGAUUUAUUGGGCGUAAAGAGCGUGUAGGCGGCCAGGUAGGUCAGCUGUGAAAACUCGAGGCUUAACCUCGAGACGCCGGCUGAAACCCUCUGGCUAGAGUCCGGAAGAGGAGAGCGGAAUUCCUGGUGUAGCGGUGAAAUGCGCAGAUAUCAGGAAGAAUACCCGUGGCGAAGGCGGCUCUCUGGGACGGUACUGACGCUGAGACGCGAAAGCGUGGGGGGCGAACAGG